CUUUCAAGGGCAAGAGAAGGAUUUGUGCUUGCAUCUGAUUUGCAUUUAGUUUAUCUAGUAACACCAAUUAACGUUGAUGUUGAGCCAGAUUGGGAACUGUACUACGAAAGGUUCAUGGAAUUACCUGCUCUUGACCAGUCAGUUGGCAACUGAGUUGGAGUAGUAGAACCGUUUUUGAUGUGCAUGGCACAUGGAGCACCUAUGCGCACUUCAAACCAAUCAAGGGACAGUAUGAAGGGGUUGCAUGGCAAAUGUGAAAACCGACUUGGGAUCAGAAACAGUACUAUGCUGUCAGAUGAUCAAACACUUCGAGUUUGUAAACGUUUCAAUGUUGCACUCAUCUUAUCAAGACUAGUGCAGGAAGUUCCUGUGGCUGAGGUUUGCGAAGCUUUUAAAGUGGCUAGAGGAAUGGUUCAAGCCUUGCAAGAGAAUGCUGGAAGGUUUGCAUCUAUGUUUCUGUGUUCUGUGAAAGGCUUGGAUGGCAUGAUCUCAAAGGUUUAGUUGCCAAAUUCCAAAAUCGCGUUUCAUUCGGAGUGAGAGCAGAAAUUGUAGAGCUUACUACUAU